rnacentral:rRNA from 1 species
GCAGUCGAGCGGACCGAAGGGAGCUUGCUCCUUUAGGUUUAGCGGCGGACGGGUGAGUAACACGUGGGCAACCUGCCCUGCAGACUGGGAUAACUUCGGGAAACCGGAGCUAAUACCGGAUAACACCGAAAACCGCAUGGUUUUCGGUUGAAAGGCGACUUUUAGCUGUCACUGCAGGAUGGGCCCGCGGCGCAUUAGCUAGUUGGUGAGGUAACGGCUCACCAAGGCGACGAUGCGUAGCCGACCUGAGAGGGUGACCGGCCACACUGGGACUGAGACACGGCCCAGACUCCUACGGGAGGCAGCAGUAGGGAAUCUUCCGCAAUGGACGAAAGUCUGACGGAGCAACGCCGCGUGAGCGAAGAAGGUCUUCGGAUCGUAAAGCUCUGUUGUCAAGGAAGAACAAGUACCGUUCGAACAGGGCGGUACCUUGACGGUACCUGACGAGGAAGCCACGGCUAACUACGUGCCAGCAGCCGCGGUAAU